GACGAACGCUGGCGGCGUGCUUAACACAUGCAAGUCGAACGAUGAAGCCGGAGCUUGCUCUGGUGAAUUAGUGGCGAACGGGUGAGUAACACGUGAGUAACCUGCCCUUGACUCUGGGAUAACUGCGGGAAACUGUAGCUAAUACCGCAUAGACUCUGAGGAGUAAAGCUGGGGUUAAACCUGGCGCUAUGGGAGGAGCCUGCGUCUGAUUAGCUAGUUGGUAGGGUAAAGGCCUACCAAGGCGACGAUCAGUAGGUGGUCUGAGAGGAUGAUCACCCACACUGGGACUGAGGCACGGCCCAGACUCCUACGGGAGGCAGCAGUGGGGAAUAUUGGACAAUGGGGGCAACCCUGAUCCAGCAAUACCGCGUGUGUGAAGAAGGCCUUUGGGUUGUAAAGCACUUUAGGCGGGGAAGAAGAUAAUUUGUUUAAGAGAUGAGUUAUUUGACGGUACCCGCAGAAUAAGCACCGGCUAACUCUGUGCCAGCAGCCGCCGUAA
rnacentral:rRNA from 1 species